rnacentral:rRNA from 1 species
GAUGAACGCUAGCGGCAGGCUUAAUACAUGCAAGUCGAGGGGUAGCAAGAUUGUAGCAAUACAAUUGUUGACGACCGGCAAACGGGUGCGGAACACGUACACAACCUUCCUACAAGUGGGGAAUAGCCAAGAGAAAUUUGGAUUAAUACCCCGUAACAUAGCGAUGUGGCAUCACAUUGCUAUUAUAGCUUCGGCGCUUGUUGAUGGGUGUGCGGCUGAUUAGAUAGUUGGCGGGGUAACGGCCCACCAAGUCUACGAUCAGUAGCUGAUGUGAGAGCAUGAUCAGCCACACGGGCACUGAGACACGGGCCCGACUCCUACGGGAGGCAGCAGUAAGGAAUAUUGGACAAUGGACGCAAGCCUGAUCCAGCCAUGCCGCGUGAAGGAUUAAGGUCCUCUGGAUUGUAAACUUCUUUUAUAAGGGACGAAAAAAGGUCUUUCUAGAUCGUCUGACGGUACCUUAUGAAUAAGCACCGGCUAACUCCGUGCCAGCCGCCGCUGUAAGAC